UACGAAGGGGGCUAGCGUUGUUCGGAAUCACUGGGCGUAAAAGGCGCGUAGGCGGCCGGUCAAGUCGGGGGUGAAAGCCUGUGGCUCAACCACAGAAUGGCCUUCGAUACUGGACGGCUCGAGACCGGAAGAGGUGAGUGGAACUGCGAGUGUAGAGGUGAAAUUCGUAGAUAUUCGCAAGAACACCAGUGGCGAAGGCGGCUCACUGGUCCGGUUCUGACGCUGAGGCGCGAAAGCGUGGGGAGCAAACAGG
rnacentral:rRNA from 1 species